UGAUGGGUGGCCAGUCCUCUUCUGGCUGUGCAGGGUGGAUAUUAUAACAGAACAUGGUCAAGAUGGUGCAACAAGCACGUCCGGUGAACAGGUCAGGGUUCCAUAGCCGCAGGCAGAACAGUUGAAACUGGAGCAGCAGCACGGCCAGGUGGACUGGGGACAGCAAGGAGUCAUCAUACCAGGUAGUCCUGAGGCAUGGUCCUAGGGCUCAGGUCCUCCGAGAGAAAGACAGAAAGAGAGAAAGAGAGAAUUAGAGAGAGCAUAUUUAAAUACACACAGGACACCGGAUAAGACAAGAGAAAUACUCCAGAUGUAACAGAUUGACCCUAGCCCCCCGACACAUAAACUACUGCAGCAUAAAUACUGGAGGCUGAGACAGGAGGGAUCAGAAGACACUGUGGCCCCAUCCGAUGAUACCCCCGGACAGGGCCAAACACGCAGGAUAUAACCCCACCCACUUUGCCAAAGCACAGCCCCCACACCACUAGAGGGAUGUCUCCAACCACCAACUUACCGUCCUAAGACAAGGCCGAGUAUAGCCCACAACGAUCUCCGCCAUGGCACAACCCAAGGGGGGGGCGCCAAUGACUUUGGUCAUGAUGCACGCAGCAAAUUAUAUGUAACAACACCCUGAGCGCAUCGGACACAAAACGAAACAUCAAUACAAAUGCAACAGCAGCACAAAAUAGAUAAACAACUUUGUGGAAUUUUCUUUCACGGGUGUCUUUUCAUUGUGACUUUUAGCUGCACCAAUCAAAGCAGUGAAGCAUGGUCAAAACCAUUCAUCUUGGGGAGAAUGGCGGGAGUGGGGUUCCAAAAUGCAAUCAUAUCACACGCAAUUUUACCAUUUAUAAAAUUGUCAUAUUUGUUUAUACAGACUAGCUCAAAAAUAAGUGAAACUUGACAAAUUAUCUAAUGGAUUAUGAUAAUUUGCUGGUAAAAAAUGGAGGUGCAAAAACACAAGUUUGCACCCCCAUUUGAAUUUGCUCCGUGGCUCAGACGGCCAAGUGUCGGCUACAGAGAAAAGCUGUUUGGCUCUUCCAGAGAUGAUCUAUAAUAUUUCUCAGAUCAGUCGCGACUCACGAAGAGGGAGAACUUUGAACGUGUUUCUGAUUAAUAAACAAUGCCAUGCUGGUGGGUGGUAAUGUUCAAAUAAAACCCAGCCCUGAAAAGAAACCUAGACUGAAAAGAAACCAAGCCCUGAAAAGAAAUGUAGACUAAAAAGUAUUAGCACAUCAUAUCAUACGGGAAACGUAGCAUUGGCACAGAAAAUAUCCGAAAUUACCAAGUUGGAUUUCCCACAAAAAAAUAGAAUUUCCGCUCUUGUGUACGUUUAAAACAGCAAAAAUGACUCUCCACCCAAUGGCAAAACGGAUAGAAUUGCAGGAAAUUAGCUGUAAAGCUGUAUCUCUGCCCCAUGGCAAAAUGAGUAGAAUUGCAUUACAUUUUUUGUAAAAUUGCUACAUUUUUAUCUUCGCUGUCAAGAGAGGCGCCACUAAAAUGUUUUGCAGUGAGGUGAGGGGCCCCCUAACCGAAUCUCGCUUAGGGCCCCCAAAAGGCUAGAGCUGGCUCUAAUAGGAAGAAAGGGCACAGCAGGGUACAUCACUCAAUGGUCACGUCCUCAGUGCUGCCUUUUCCUAUAUCAAUUUUAUGUGUUUGUAAAUGUUAUGUUCCCCAGUUUCUGUGUUGUUUUGGGUUUGUUUGUAUAUAUGUAUGUGUGUCUAUCAGGAAAUGGCUUCCUGGAUUCCAAAGCAGCUGAUUAGUCGGCCCCAUUGCAGAUUGGAGCUCUGACCCCGCCCUCUCGUCAAGGGAUACAGCUGUCUGCAAUUACCGACUCCUUCUUCAGCUUGAAAAGCCAGUGUUCCUUUAGGAGAGAGCUUCUUUGUAUGUGCUGUGUUGGUGGUUGGUCUGGUAAAUUUGUAAAGUAUUUUGUAGCCGGUCCUGCAGACGUAUGUCAAAAGGACUGUUUUUGAUUAUUGAAAUUGUUCAUUUUACGUGAGUAAUUCUGUUUUUGUUCCCAGGGGGGAAGGGGAAGGCAACUUGGGAGUGUUUAGGCAAGAGGCCUGUGGGCAUACAUAUACCCGUAGUAUGUACUCUGUCUAUGCACACUGGGUAAGACCUGGGCGGACCACCCCCCUGUAUUUUGGUUAGUGCGCCAGGAGGUAGUUAAAGGUUAGGUAAGUAGUGGGUAGGCAGGUAAGGUAGGAGAGGGGACUCUUCAAAUUUUACUUUCUUUGCUUUGGUUCUGUCCAGCCCUUUUUCCCCACAUUACCAUGUUAAGGAAAUAAAUUCUCUGUAAACAGUAAUAUUCUGUCAUCCUUACCCGCACCUACAAUCACCUCUUUCACUCCACGUGAAGUUGCAUGUCACAGGGUGUUGCGUUCCCCCCCUCCAAGAGGCAUGCAUAACAGUAAAUGACAACAGAACUAAUCUCG
rnacentral:lncRNA from 1 species